rnacentral:rRNA from 1 species
UAUGUGAUCGUCUCUCGCAUAUCAAUAAGCGGAGGAAAAGAAACUAACAAGGAUUCCCCUAGUAACGGCGAGUGAAGCGGGAAGAGCUCAGAUUUGAAAUCUUAAAGGGUUUCCCUUUACGAAUUGUAGUUUAAAGAAGUGUUUUCUGUUGAGGUUUUGGUAAAAGUUCUUUGGAAUAGGACAUCAUAGAGGGUGAGAAUCGCGUAUUUGACCUUUACUUUCAACUUUGUGAUACACUUUCAAAGAGUCGGAUUGUUUGGGAAUGCAGUCCAAAAUGGGUGGUAAAUUUCAUCUAAAGCUAAAUAUUGGCGAGAGACCGAUAGCGAACAAGUACCGUGAGGGAAAGAUGAAAAGAACUUUGAAAAGAGAGUUAAACAGUACGUGAAAUUGUCAAAAGGGAAGCGUUUGACACCAGUGUUGUUUUUCUGAAAAUCAAUUAAAGAACUGUUUAUGCUAAGCUGUUUAGACUUUAUCAGCUAUCUGUUUAGUUUUGAGCUUUUCUUUAAUGCACUUUUCAGUUAACAAGUCAACAUCAAUUUCUUUUGCUGUAAAAAAGCUUGAGGAAGGUGGCUUGAGAUUCGUCUUAAGUGUUUAUAGCCUCUUGCCUAUGCAGUCGGAGAGAUUGAGGUCUGCAGCGUAGAUCCUUCGGGGCUAAAUGCAUUUGUGCUAAGUUAUAGCAUUUUAUAGACAACUUGUUGACUAUGAUUUGUCUUGUAGCUUACUCGCUUAUGUUAUUUUACCUACGCUUAGGAUGUUGAUCUACAGAGCGAGAGU